rnacentral:rRNA from 1 species
ACAAUGUGCGAAAGCAUGUUGCAGCGACGCCGCCUGGGGGAUGACGGCCUCAGGGUUGUAAACCCCUUUCAGUAGAGAAGAAGCGAGAGUGACGGUACUUGCAGAAGAAGCGCCGGCUAAGUACGUACCAGCAGCCGCGGUAAUAAGUAGGGCGCGAGCGUUGUCCGGAAUUAUUGGGAGUAAAGAGCUUGUAGGUGGCUUGUCGAGUCUGCUCUGAAAACCUGAGGCUCAACGUGGGGCUUGCGGUGGGUACGGGCAGGCUAGAGUGUGGUAGGGGUGAACGUAACUCCUGGUGUAGCGGUGAACUGGGCAGAUAUCAGGAAGAACACCGAUGACGAAGGCAGGUCUGUGGACCAUUACUGACAUCGAGAAGAGAAAGCAUGGGUAGGGAACAUGUUUAGAUCCCUUGGUACUCCAUGCAGUAAACGCUGGGCAAUAGGUCUGGGGGACAUUCCACGUUUUUCGCGCCGUAGAUAACGCAUCAAGUGCCCCGCCUGGGGAGUACGGCCGCAAGGCUAAAACUCAAAGGAAUUGACGGGGGCCCGCACAAGCGGCGGAGCAUGGUGAUUAAUUAGAUGCAACGCGAAGAACCUUACCAAGGCUUGACAUGCACUGGACGGUUGCAGAGAUGUGGCUUUCUUUGGACCAAUGCACAGGUGGUGCAUGGUUGUUGUCAGCUC